GUCUUAUUCGAUUAGUGGUCAAAUCAUCUCGUUGUGGUUCGCAUGGUUGUGGCGUAUACAGCAGCUCCGAGAAGCCGGAAGUUCGAAUCCUCCAUAGGACA